GCGCCCUUACCUCAGCUGGAUAGAGGGCCUGACUACGAAUCAGGACGUCAUAGGUUCGAAUCCUAUAGGGCGCGCCA
rnacentral:tRNA from 1 species